UGGAAUCGAGGUGUUCUCCCCUGUGAGCCAUACUCUCUUCAAUCCUGCAAUUGUUAUAGGAAAGAAGGUAAUAUGGCAAUUGAUAGGGGGUGGUAUUGACAACCAACAAUGAAAGUAUUGGGUGGUAGUGGUCAGUAUUACCUUAUUGACAACUUCAUUCUUCCUAGUCUCAUUGCAUGCCCACUCUAACAUCCUCAUCUCCCCAUACUUCAAAAAACAGCUAUGGGAAUGCGAAAUGUACACCAUUUAACUAAAUGGUGUGUGAGAUUUGAUUUUAAUCACAGAAACAAUUUUUAGAUGCUCCAGCUCUUUUAUAUCUUUGCUUUUCCCAUUGUUGGAUCUGAACUAUUGGUCCAGCCACUCUGUGUCAAGCUUCAUGGUACUGCAGGGAAGCUCUUAAAUAAAUUAGAAAGGUUGGGCUAGUGCAGCAAUUUGUGAAUCAUUAGAGUUACCUAAUCCUGAAUUGAGGUACCAAACUCUGUGAACAAUUCUUUGUAUACAGUUUAACAAUUUUGAUGGCUUUUCUUAUGUCACCUUUCAUCUCUGUAGUGAGGAAGAUAUACUUAUGAACAUCUAGA